CGUCGCCAUCUUUUUCCCCCUCCGUCUGUCUGUCUGCUGUUGGCUUUGUCCGUCUGCAGCGCCGCCCCUCGGCUCCCCGCCACCGGCUCGGCCCGGAGCCCCUUCCGCUCGCCGGGGCCCAGUCCCGGAGCGCCCCGGCCCGGCUGGCUUGGGCUGCGGUCCCGGGUCCAUUGUCCGGCGGUCCGUCUGUCCGGAGGCGGGGCCCAGGGACCCAGAGCGCAGCGCAGCGCGGAGGCGCCGGAUACAGAUCACUUGGAUUCAGUCGAGUUUGCUUUGCUCCGUGGGAACUGCACCAGAGCUGGAGCUUAGCAUCUUGCAAGGAAGUAGUAACAUAUCCAGUCGUGAAACUGGGAAAGACCAGAGCUGUUGCAUCAGGGAAACAUGUCCCGUCGGAAACAGACAAAUCCAAAUAAAGUUCACUGGGAUCAAGUAUUUGCUGGGCUAGAGGAGCAAGCCCGCCAGGCGAUGAUGAAAACUGAUUUUCCUGGAGACCUUGGCAGUCAGCGACAAGCUAUCCAACAACUAAGAGAUCAGGACUCCAGUAGCAGUGAGUUCUGCACCUUCUGGUGACAGUGAGGGUGAUGAAGAGGAGACCACACAAGAUGAAGUCUCUUCCCACACAUCAGAGGAAGAUGGAGGGGUGGUCAAAGUGGAGAAAGAGUUAGAAAAUACAGAACAGCCUGUUGGUGGGAACGAAGUGGUAGAGCACGAGGCAAGUGACAAUGGCCCCUGGGUCCAGGUCCAGCAAUGCCCUACCCGUCUGCCUGCCCUGAUGCUGCUCACCCCUGUGGCACAGUCUUGCCUCUGAUGGUCUCCUGGGCCUGCACAGGAGGCCUCUUCCUUCAUGGCACCAGAACCCAC
rnacentral:sRNA from 1 species